rnacentral:rRNA from 1 species
UACAGAGGUCCCAAGCGUUGUUCGGAUUCACUGGGCGUAAAGGGUGCGUAGGUGGUGAGGUAAGUCGGAUGUGAAAGCUCGGAGCUCAACUCCGAAAUGGCAUUGGAAACUACCUUGCUCGAGGGUUGGAGGGGGGACUGGAAUACUUGGUGUAGCAGUGAAAUGCGUAGAUAUCAAGUGGAACACCAGUGGCGAAGGCGAGUCCCUGGACAACUCCUGACACUGAGGCACGAAAGCUAGGGGAG